GAUCAUGACCUCAGCUGAAAUCAAGAGUCUGAUGCUCAACCGGCUGAACCAUCCAGAGCCAUCCAUACUUCUGCCUUAUUUUUAUUACGGACAAUGAAGAAGGCUGAAAAACGCCAUCAUCAGUUUUAAGAUUUGGGUUCCCAAAGAAGUGACUGGUGUCAUCUGGGGGAGAUUUGGAAUCAGGGAGGACCAUUACCAGACUGGAUCCAGGUUCACCUGUUUUAAUCGUUCCCUUGACACACUGUGCCAGCCGUCUUGAGAAACCCCAGCGAUGACUGAGCUGAUCUGGAGCCAAGGGACUUGCCCCUCAGGCAAGGAUUGUGCAGGGAAAGGGCCGGAGGGAAGAGGUUCACAGGCUGAGGGCCAGGGAAGCUGAAGUGGCACGUGCACAGCAGGAAGCGGAGUGACUGAUGUCAGUUGAUUUGUUUGCUGUCUAUCCAUCCUAAGUGCCAUUAAGUAAUAACAUGGGUGUAAUUGGCUGAGCACCCUAAACGCAAAUGUCUGUAAGGUGAAGUGCUUUAAGCCAGAGACUGCUGUAUAUGCAUUUACAUUUAUGUGAGUGUGUUUCCACAAUGCUUCCGGUGGUUCUCCGAAAUAGCACACCACCCUGCUUACAAACAGGCGGUUCCCGUGUACUAGUGACACAUACAGGAGUGACUAUGAUGUUACAGGAAAAUGUCUUUAAGAAUGCCAAAAUUUAAGGCUGAUUUUGAAAUGCCUGAUGCAUGAAUACACAAUUAAGUUAAUUAACAUAGCCAAAGCCUUAGGCACACCAUCCUAAACACAGAGCUUGUUAUUCUUAUAAGGUAAUGAAGUAUGGUUCAGCAGCAGCAUUUUGCAUGAAAUUAAAAAAAACUUUUUUUUUUUCACUUUCCCUAUUUGAAGAAUUUGGCAGGUGUUGAUGAAACUUAAAACUGACAAGAUAAUUCCCCAAAGGAAAGACUAUUACUUUUGGAAGUCACUGUGUGACUUCCCAGUGAAAGCAAAGUAUGAGUUGCUCUCCUUACUGAGUGCUAAAUAUCCUUUUAUUUGCUUUGUAAAGAGAUGCUUAUAGAGCUUAGACUAGUGAGAUGCAAAGAAGUGAAGUGCCUGGGUAAAAUCUGGACACCCUUACUUUCUAGGGGUUGCUAGAAUACAAGUGUAACUAUCAGCAUUCAUUAUUUAGAUUAAGUUGUUUCCAAAGCAACUUUGACAGUUAUAAAUAAAACUCAGAGACCUUCAGUUAGGAAAAUGGAAAAGAAAAGAUAAAAAUAAACGGAAUUUAAAUUGCUUUAGAAAGCAUUAGUCUAUGCAGGAAUUUAUGAGGGAAAAAGAACUGGGCACCUUGUUUAGGGGUUUUGGGUAUUAAAAAUAUUUCAUUUCCAAGGAUGACUUCCAAGUUUACAUUAAAUAUAAAAUAAAAUCUGAAUUGCUUUCACAUGGCAGGACAAAUAAAACUUUUUUUUUGAAAGUGGUUACUAUUUUUAGCAUAUUAUUAUGUACACAAAAUGAGUAGAACUAAUCCCACAAUAAAUCACGUUUUCUGGAUA